GAUGAAGAACGUAGCGAAAUGCGAUACUUGGUGUGAAUUGCAGAAUCCCGUGAACCAUCGAGUCUUUGAACGCAAGUUGCGCCCGAAGCCAUUAGGCCGAGGGCACGCCUGCCUGGGCGUCACACGUCGUUGCCCCCCCAUCUACUCCUUCGGGAUUGCGGGGGGCGGAUGAUGGCCUCCCGUGCGCCUCGCCGCGCGGUUGGCAUAAAUGCCAAGUCCUCGGCGACGCACGCCACGACAAUCGGUGGUUGCGAAACCUCGGUUGCCCGUCGUGUGCGGUCGUCGCGCAUCGAGGGCUCGAAAAAAUUGCCGGGUUCCGGCUCGGCUUUCAACGCGACCCCAGGUCAGGCGGGGUUACCCGCUGAAUUUAAGCAUAUCAAUAAGCGGGG
rnacentral:misc_RNA from 1 species